GAAAUUUGGAGAAAAGUAGCUACGCUCAUAUUCUUUUUUCUCUCCGUGUUCCCUUCUUCUCUCGCUAUUGUUUUUUGUCUGCCUGCCAUGGCUGCCGAAUCCGCUUCUGCAAUUCACAGAAACCAAGUGGAUUUGUUGGAGCAUAUAGACUGGCGUGAAGUCGAAUGUCUCAAUCAGAAGAGCAGUAACUCUAUUGCCAAUGCUCUCAAGGUUACCUUGAAGAUGAGGGUUUGAAUCUAGAGAGUGAUGCUGAUGAGCAACUUUUGAUCUAUAUACCAUUUACGCAAGUCAUAAAGUUGCAUUGUAUUGUUAUCAAAGGACCAGAAGAGGAAGGUCCUAAAACUGUCAAACUUUACUCAAAUAGAGAGCAUAUGGGAUUCAGGUAUGUUCUUAUGUUUAUGUGUAUCUCUCUACUGAAGAAGCUUUGAUUACUUUCUCUAUCUUACAUCUGGCAAAUGUUAUGACAAUAAUGUUAAUGACUUCCCUACAAGUGAUACAGCUGUUUUAUCAACUGAGAAUCUUAAGGGAAAACCUGUAGUUUUGAAGUAUGUCAAAUUCCAAAAAAUGUUCGCUGCUUAACGAUUUUUAUUGAAGAUAAUCAGUCUGAGGCAGAGAUGACCAAGAUUCAAAAAAGAGCUCUCUAUGGAACAACGUGCUAACCCGUGGAAAUAUGAUUACAAAGACAGUUUUAUACACCAUUCUAGAAAGACUAACCAAACAAUGCCGAAAAGGUUUAAAACCAGAAGUCAUUUCGAUGCUUGAAGAACAUCAUAAACUUGAGAACGAAAGUUUAGAAAGAGAUCUUCACUCCAAGGCUGAUACUGCUAUUUCACUUCCUGGGGACUGGGAGACUUAGUGGGGACAAUCAAUGGUGCAUCUCAAGGUCAGAAUAUGCUGGGAGGGAUGGUUUGAGUUGCUCCUCUUGUCCGGUUCGUUUGUGUGUGGAUGAGCAUGUGUCUAACAUUUAUGAUGCAUUGGGCCUAACCUUGUCCAAAGUUGUUGAAAGUUUUUUCUCAAUCUCCAGUGUGAUUGAUGCCCUAAAGACCUUAAGAAGAAUCUUAAUAGUUUUUCAAAAGUGUUCAUUUAAGUCUGGAAAGACGAUCAAAUCUUCACUUGUUUUACAACCUUUUUUGCAUAAUCUGUUGCCUAUUUUGGUGAGCUACUAGACAUCCUACAAUUGAAGUGUGAGCUGGACACAAAAAAUGAGGUGUUUUAAAAUUUGGUUGGCCAUCCUGUAAAGGCUUCAUUGGCUUUGCCUGUUGCAUUAGACGCUCUAAAUGAUGUGAUCUAGAGCCUUGCUAAAUCAACCAGCAUUGGAUAAGAUUCUCUCUCUUUGCCGCUUUUGAGACUGAAUAGAAUACAUUCAGGCUCGGUCCUUGCCAGUGGAGAAGAGCUUCCUUUUGGAAUUUCUACGUCAGCUUUUGAUGGGUUACAGUUGUCAAAGUGGGAGAACAGAAUGGAGCAAAAGGUGGUUGGAUUGCAUAUAAACUGAAAGAGGGUUAAAUGUGCAUGCUUGCGGCAUAUGAGCUGAUGUCUGCCAACGACGCUUCAAAAAGAGAUCCCAUAGACUGAUAUGAUCAUUUAACAAUAAGUUUAUGUAAUCAUUCCUCCCUCUAACCCUGUGAUAAGGAUUAAGUAGAAUAGAUCAUUAACUAUUAGAAAACACAAGAGACAACACAUUCUGGUUCUUUAGAAUGAACAAACAGUACAGAGCUCAACUUGCACAUUUAUGGUGCUUUUACAAUGAGCUGGUUUGUUUUCGAAACUCGACAGCAUGGGGCCACUUAAAGUCCACUUUUUAGUGUGAUGAACCAGUCCCUUUUUGCACAAGUUCUUUUAAAGAUGGCCAUGCAGGUCUCUUCUCAAGGAAUGGUGCAGUAUGAUAAUAUUUUAUUUUUUUCGGACUGAUACACAAGUAUGACUACCAGCUUUUGAUUUUUGGCUCUAGUGACUAGUCUAUCCCAAGAUUGGAGGUGCAUUCAUGGAUUCACAUUAACCUGACUUCAUAACAUAUUGCCAUAUGACUGAUGUCUGAGAGCUCUGAACUAAAAGAACAUCUAUAGAGCUACCUGCAAUUUCCAAUGUUCUCAUCUCUAUUCUAGCUCUUGAUGAAUGAUCAAACAUUCUGUUGUGAAUAGACAAAUCUUCUAAGCGGUUGAAUUUCUUCUAAAGUUUUUUUUCUUCUUAUUUGUCAUUCCAAGAGUCAUCCUCUUACAUCAUUGACUAAUCUUAGUUUGUUGCUAUGUAUUGUACAUUGUUAAUACUCUGUGCUUUUUGUUUUGCUAUAUUUUUCAUUUUGGACCAUUCCUUUGAUUUAACUAGAUAUCUAUUUUCGGCUGUGGACCCAAAUUCUCCUUUAAUAUUGACCACCAAAUCAUUCUCUCUUGGUGUUAUUCACAAAUUUCCUCCAUCCAUUAGUAGUUUAGCCUUAUUGUCGAAUUAUAAAUUAACAGAGUAACUUUGUUAGUUUGUAGCAAAACCAAAGCCACUGAGGGAGUAUUUGAUAAAGUAAAUUGUGUUUGACCAAUGAGGUGGAGGACUUGAGUUUCUCCUCAAAAUAUACACUUCAGGCUCCGGGCAUAAAUACACACACGACACUGAAUAGAAAUGGAAUAUCAAGAAAGCUAACCCAUGGUAUUGCUUAUAGAUGUAGGUAAACUUGUGGGUGGAGAGUGGUCGCACAUCCACAUCAGACUGGAACAUACUGGUGACUCUAUGAUAAUUUGUUUUUUUAUUUUUGUUUUGUUAGGGGAGUUGUCAAUCUUCUGUGGGAGGAGUUCCUACAAUCCUAGGUUCCUUACAUUUAUUAGGUCUUGAUUAACAAGUUCUGUUCCUGAAUUUUCAUGGUGC